rnacentral:rRNA from 1 species
UACGUAGGGGCAAGCGUUGUCCGGAUUUAUUGGGCGUAAAGAGCGUGUAGGCGGCUUGGUAGGGUCCGCUGUGAAAACUCGAAGGCUCAACCUCGAGAUGUCGGCGGAAACCACUUGGCUAGAGUCCGGAAGAGGAGAGUGGAAUUCCUGGUGUAGCGGUGAAAUGCGCAGAUAUCAGGAGGAACACCGGUGGCGAAGCGGGUCUCUGGGCAGUAACUGACGCUGGAGGAGCGAAAGCGUGGGGAGCGAACAGG